rnacentral:tRNA from 1 species
ACCGCGAUUGCUCAGCUGGAAGAGCAUCUGCCUCGUAGACGGAACUUCGCUGGUUCGAUUCCGGCUUGUGGUG